UAGGGAAUCUUCCACAAUGGACGCAAGUCUGAUGGAGCAACGCCGCGUGAGUGAAGAAGGGUUUCGGCUCGUAAAGCUCUGUUGUUAAAGAAGAACGUGGGUAAGAGUAACUGUUUACCCAGUGACGGUAUUUAACCAGAAAGCCACGGCUAACUACGNGCCAG
rnacentral:rRNA from 1 species